rnacentral:rRNA from 1 species
UCCUACGGGAGGCAGCAGUGAAGAAUAUUGCGCAAUGGGGGCAACCCUGACGCAGCAACGCCGCGUGAAGGAUGAAGGUUUUCGGAUUGUAAACUUCUUUUAUCAAGGACGAAGAAUGUGACGGUACUUGAUGAAUAAGCCACGGCUAACUACGUGCCAGCAGCCGCGGUAAUACGUAGGUGGCAAGCGUUAUCCGGAUUUACUGGGUGUAAAGGGCGAGUAGGCGGGCAGACAAGUCAGAUGUGAAAUCUGGGGGCUUAACCCCCAAACUGCAUUUGAAACUGUAGGUCUUGAGUGAUGGAGAGGCAGGCGGAAUUCCCGGUGUAGCGGUGGAAUGCGUAGAUAUCGGGAGGAACACCAGUGGCGAAGGCGGCCUGCUGGACAUUAACUGACGCUGAGGAGCGAAAGCGUGGGGAGCAAACAGGAUUAGAUACCCUGGUAGUC